GACAGAGGGUGCAAACGUUGCUCGGAAUUACUGGGCGUAAAGCGCGUGUAGGCGGGUCGGUAUGUCGGACGUGAAAUCCCUAGGCUCAACCUAGGAACUGCGCUCGAAACUGCCGGUCUUGAGUGGUGGAGAGGGAAGUGGAAUUCCUGGUGUAGAGGUGAAAUUCGUAGAUAUCAGGAGGAAGACCAGUGGCGAAGGCGGAUCUCUGGACAGUUCCUGACGCUGAGGCGCGAAGGCCAGGGGAGCAAACGGG
rnacentral:rRNA from 1 species